UACGAAGGGGGCUAGCGUUGCUCGGAAUUACUGGGCGUAAAGGGCGCGUAGGCGGAUAGUUUAGUCAGAGGUGAAAGCCCAGGGCUCAACCUUGGAAUUGCCUUUGAUACUGGCUGUCUUGAGUACGGGAGAGGUGAGUGGAACUCCGAGUGUAGAGGUGAAAUUCGUAGAUAUUCGGAAGAACACCAGUGGCGAAGGCGACUCACUGGCCCGUUACUGACGCUGAGGCGCGAAAGCGUGGGGAGCAAACAGGG
rnacentral:rRNA from 1 species